ACGAAUUUUAUUGAAAAAAAAAGUCUGACUGUGAAAAAGUCGGCAUAAAUUGUGAAUUCGAAGCAGUUUUCUGCUAAGGAGUAUAGUAUGUGUCUUAAGAAAGUGAAUGCACAUGUCAGCCUGAAUUAGAUUGCUAAGAGAAAGGCAUAUAUACAUAUUUUUAAUCCGGUGCCAAAUCAACUGAAUUGGCACCUAGUUUUGGUCUAAACCUAGUCCUGGUUCAAACCUAGUCCACAGACUAGAUAUAAUGGUAUAAGUCUAACAGCGAACUUAAGAGAGGCGCAGGAGAGGCACGCCCGUCGAAACGGACUGAAGCCCACGGGAGCAGCAGACUCUCGAGAAGGAGUAUUUUGGCGCAGACAUUUGGCCAGAAGAGAUCUGAUGCGACAGGCGUAAAAAGAGAAAAAAAAUAUAAAGAGUAUAUGAUUCUCUAGGCCCCCCCACUACCCUUGCUUUGCGUGAUAAGCAAAAGCUUUCUUUAGAUGAUUAUCAGCCAGCGAAGCUUUCAUGUGUAGCCGCUUGGCUUGCGUUUUGUUUUGUUUUUUUGGUUACUGGUGAUUGCCGCAUAGCCUCCAACCACAAAAAAAAAAAAAGAAAAAUUAAAUAUCUUCGCCAGGCCCUAAUGAUGAAUGUAACUCUUUAAUUUUGGGCACAAAUAAUUUAUGCCCUUGAUUUUUUUUUAUUUUUUUUUUAUAUAUAAUGUUAUCUUAAAGUUAAUCUUUUUAAAUCGUAAAAUUCUGAUGCAUUGGCGUUCUCCAAAGCCAAUUUUAUUUUUUUUUCUUUUAUUUCAUUUUG